GUAUACCCUGCACUAAAGCUUUGUAGGUGAAGCUUUGGAAGUGAAGCUUUGAAGCUAGAGCUCUGUAAAUGAAGCUUUCAAAGUUGGAGGUUUUGUAAAUGAAGCUUUUGAAGCUAGAGCUCUGUAAAUGAAGCUUUUGAAGCUGAUUGACAUGAGUGAUGUUCAUGAAUGUUUAUGUUGAUUGACAUGAGUGAUGCUCAUGGAUGUUGUCAUGAGUGAUGCUUAUGAAUGUUAACAUGAGUGAUGCUCAUGAAUGUUGACAUGAAUGAUUGUCAUGAAUGUUUAUGUAUGAUUGUCAUGAGUGAUGCUCAUGUAUAAUUUGGAGUA
rnacentral:lncRNA from 1 species